UCGACAUUCAAAUACACUUCCAACACUUGUUGUCAAGAUGACUCCAUCGAAAUAAACACAUACAAAAAACUUAGCAUCCAUCUUCAAUAUUUAAUCUGUAAAAAAAAAAAAAAAUCUCAUAAAAAUUCUCGAACGGUAAAUAAAUUACUAAUCCUAAUAACUAACACAAUAAUAAUAUUAAUAAUUUUAUACUCAAAAAAAUACAC
rnacentral:lncRNA from 1 species